UACGGGGGGGGUAAGCGUUGUUCGGAAUUACUGGGCGUAAAGGGCUCGUAGGCGGCCAACUAAGUCAGACGUGAAAUCCCUCGGCUUAACCGGGGGAACUGCGUCUGAUACUGGAUGGCUUGAGAUUGGGAGAGGGAUGCGGAAUUCCAGGUGUAGCGGUGAAAUGCGUAGAUAUCUGGAGGAACACCGGUGGCGAAGGCGGCAUCCUGGACCGGUAUUGACGCUGAGGCGCGAAAGCCAGGGGAGCAAACGGG
rnacentral:rRNA from 1 species